rnacentral:rRNA from 1 species
GAUGAACGCUGGCGGCGUGCCUAAUACAUGCAAGUCGAGCGAACAGAUGAGGAGCUUGCUCCUCUGACGUUAGCGGCGGACGGGUGAGUAACACGUGGAUAACCUACCUAUAAGACUGGGAUAACUUCGGGAAACCGGAGCUAAUACCGGAUAAUAUAUUGAACCGCAUGGUUCAAUAGUGAAAGACGGUUUUGCUGUCACUUAUAGAUGGAUCCGCGCCGCAUUAGCUAGUUGGUAAGGUAACGGCUUACCAAGGCAACGAUGCGUAGCCGACCUGAGAGGGGGAUCGGCCACACUGGAACUGAGACACGGUCCAGACUCCUACGGGAGGCAGCAGUAGGGAAUCUUCCGAAAUGGGCGAAAGCUUGACGGAGCAACGCCGCGUGAGUGAUGAAGGUCUUCGGAUCGUAAAACUCUGUUAUUAGGGAAGAACAAAUGUGUAAGUAACUAUGCACGUCUUGACGGUACCUAAUCAGAAAGCCACGGCUAACUACGU